UGCUGCUGCCCCGCUGUAAGAACCUGGAGAUCUUCACUGAGGGAGGUGACGUGGCCACAAACAGCGCCUUGGACUCAUUCCAGUGUUACCGCUGUCUGGAGAACAGCCAGGGGGUGGUCAAGACAUCCGGCACAACUUCAUCUUCAGUGUGUCAGCUCUGCUGCACCUGGGAGCUAAAGAGUUGAGGACGCUGUCCCAUCCACUGACCUCUACUAUGUCGCCUCUGGUCCGGACCUGCUCAGUGACGUCGUCCCCUGGGCCCUUGGCUGCACCCGUCUGGGAAUCCAAGACGGCCACCCAGUCUCCUCUGAUAGCCUCCAGCCAGCCACCUGCAGGAAGAGGUUACAAAAUAGACUUUACAAACAUGGCAUGAGUUAAUGCCCUGGUCAAGUUCAUACAUUAUAAUUUAGUAUGUAAACCUAAAUUGUAUUGACUUAAUUUUAUGAAUGAAAAGAAAAUAAUAGCCAGGUGCAUCACUAUUCCCAUUGAAGUAUAUCUAUAAUAUAAUAAUAAUAAUCUAUAUGCAUGUCUCUCUUACCUUGCUCCCCCAUCUUUAGUCCACUCAGCAGGUCAAUGCUCUCUGGUCCGUCUUCUAUUGUCUCCUCUUUGACCAGCAGCAGAUCAGGCUUCCCAUCCUCCAUGUCUACUGACUGUAAGAGAUACAGAGUGAGAGGAUGUUGGAUCAAGAAAUCUGAUAUGAGCACACUGCUAUAUUGUGGUUGGGCAAUGAGGGAUUGCUAUGAGUACUAUGCAAACAUGUUAGUUGAUUUAACUACUUGACUAUCUUUAAUGGUUUGAUAAUUGAAUGGUCCCACACUUAAUCCAGUUCUGGGCCUGUAUCCACAAAGAGUAGAAUUGCUGAUCGAGUAUCAGGUCCCCACCGGUCUAUAUAGUCUUAUUCAUUAUGCUCUAAAAGGCAAAACUGAUCCUAGAUCAGCACUCCUACUCUGAGAGGGUUUGUGGAUACAGGCCCUGACCUAAUACCAUUCAGACAGUAGUUCACAGUGGGCUCACCUCAGUGAGACUGUGUGUGGUCCUGUGCUGCUCAGCUGGUUCCUCUGUGGGUUCAGGAGGUGGUGUCGUCUGGUUGUCCUCCAUGACCAUGGUCCCAUCAGUGUUCCUCAGACUCUCUUCACAUACCUCCUCCUUCACCAGCAGCACCUCUGGACCUUCAUCCUCCUGGAAGAGACAGGGUUUGAAUUGAACGUCAGAAGAUAUCAGAAGAAUGUUAAAGUCUUGGUCUCCGUCUCUGACUUGAGGAUGACGUUCUGUGUUCCACUGACCUCAACGAUGCUGAGUCGGGCUCUUGACUGCACUGGGGUGGUAGUGGGGUCCUCCGUGACUACAGGGGGCAAUCCAGACGCUCCAGCCUGGUUGUCUCUGCUGUGCCGUAAGUCCUCCUCUCCUUCACAUAUGCAUAUUACACACAUCACAUGUACAGAGAGGAACGGGGCAACAUGCACUACGGGAUAUAUGAACGGCGAUACGCUGCGCAUCCUCAGCCUUAAGCAAAACGUACCUCUUGCCAUUCCUCUGUAUCGGUCGAGGAUCUUGACACUACUGGGACGACUGGCGAGGACGCGCUCUCGCAUUAUCCUUUCUGCGCGCUCCCGUGCGACCUUCAUUUCCAGUAGUUUCCUCCGCAAUCCUCUGUUUUCUUUCUGGCUUUGAGUUAUUUCCAAACGAAACAAUGCAUAAUCGUCGUCUACGACUUUACAUAUCUCUGCCACGGCUGCAUUCGCUAGAACCUCCAUGAUGGAGGCUAUUUGAGCGUGAUAAGCCAUACAGUUAGACAUUUUUAGCUCACGUUAACAAGCUAGCGUUUAGAUAACAUCUAUUAACUAAGUACUGUCUGCAACGCGAAUUAAACACUACGUGGGGACCUGAGCCCUAGGACCAUGCCUUAGGACUACCUGGCCUGAUGACUCCUUGCUGUCCACA